UUAUACAUGAAAUAAAUUUUAAUAUUUUUUAUAUAAGUAUAUAAAAAUAUAUAUUAUGUUACGCAUGUGUGCGAUGCAUAUGUAUAAC